UCCACUUUACACCUGUGCACUUAAUGUAGGUCGCCCUUAAAAAAGGGGACCUAUGUCUUAUCAUCAACCCAUCGUAUGUCUCAUAAAAUGUAAUCGAUAUCCUCGCCCUAAAAAAGCGUUGAUAAACUUAUACAACUUUCAACAACGGAUCUCUUGGCUCUCGCAUCGAUGAAGAACGCAGCGAAAUGCGAUAAGUAAUGUGAAUUGCAGAUUUUCAGUGAAUCAUCGAAUCUUUGAACGCACCUUGCGCUCCUUGGUAUUCCGAGGAACAUGCCUGUUUGAGUGUCAUUAAAUUCUCAACUCCAAGGGUUUCACGACCUUUCGGAAAUUGGACUUGGAGGUGCUGGCCGCAUAUUGGUCGGCUCCUCUCAAAUGCAUCAGCGGAAUUCAACCUUUGGCUUCCGGAUGUCAGUGUGAUAAUCAUGUUGCGCUGUCGUUUGAUCCCUCAGAGUCCGCUUAUAAUGGUCUUCGGACAAAAUCAUCAUCAAAUUUGACCCCAAAUCAGGUAGGACUACCCGCUGAACUUAAGCAUA
rnacentral:misc_RNA from 1 species